GGCCUAAACUUGUCUGGAUGUAUCCGGCGGGCAUGGCCCAAAGACCCUUGGAAGAUACUGAACCCCACGUUCAGCGACUCUUCCAAGGGCCAUAUCGGGAAACUGGUAUGGGGCCGCAAGGCCU
rnacentral:sRNA from 1 species